UAAAGAGAGAGAGAGAGACAAAACAUGGAGAAAAAUGCAUGCCAGCUCUUUGCCAACUCUUAAACACUCACACAUCUCUUCUGGCUACACUCCAUUAGCCAGAACUAGCCCCACAAUACUGAUUAAUUCUUCCACGUGAAUAAGAAAGGGAAGAUAUUUGGAAAUAUUGGUGAGCACUAGUAAUGUCUAUCAAACUCCUCCCUUCAGCCCAGACAGGCUGCCAUGCUGCUGCCAUGCUGGGGAUUUAGUGCACACAUCACUCGUGCUCUUCUUGCCGCCACAAGAAAAAUUACAAAUUGAUCCACAGGACCUGACUCUCUGCCCAUACUUCUCCUGGGCCGCUGCUGCUUCUCUCUUUCAGAACUGAGGGCUAGUGUGCCCAUCACAGCGUUCAGAACCCAGGCUCCUUCUAUCUUGCUGCUCUGCCUGUAUGGCCUCCACUUCCAAAGUCACUUUCUACUCCAAGAUGACUACUGUUCCAGCUCCAGUCACUCCACCUGAAUUCCAGCCAGAAGGAAGGAAGCAGGAAGCAGGGGGAAGAUGAGACCCUGAUCCUUCCCUUUAAGACACUUCCUAGAAGCUGCAUGAAUUUGCAUUCCAUUGGCCUGACCUUGGCCAUGUGACCACAAACACAAGGGAUCCUGGGAAAUGUAGUCUUGAAUCCAGGCACCACGUGUUCAGCUGACAUUGGGGAGCUUUAUUGCUUAAGAAAGAGAGAAAAUGGCUGAGGAACCACCAGCAGUACCAGGCACCUCCUUCAUUUGACCACUCUGUGAGCUAGUACUCUUACUAAAUAAAUGCCCUUUAUAGACGGGGGAACCAGCAGACAAAAUGUUUGCAUGAAAUUCCCUGAUCCAAAACAUUCUUAUCUUUCAAGUUCCUUACUAAACAUUAAU